UACGGGGGGGGGUAAGCGUUGUUCGGAAUUACUGGGCGUAAAGGGCUCGUAGGCGGCCAACUAAGUCAGACGUGAAAUCCCUCAGCUUAACUGGGGAACUGCGUCUGAUACUGGAUGGCUUGGAUUCGGGAGAGGAAUGCGGAAUUCCAGGUGUAGCGGUGAAAUGCGUAGAUAUCUGGAGGAACACCGGUGGCGAAGGCGGCAUCCUGGACCAACACUGACGCUGAGUGAGCGAAAGCCAGGGGAGCAAACAGG
rnacentral:rRNA from 1 species